rnacentral:rRNA from 1 species
GUGUCAGCCGCCGCGGUAAUACAGAGGUCUCAAGCGUUGUUCGGAUUCAUUGGGCGUAAAGGGUGCGUAGGUGGCGCCGUAAGUCGGGUGUGAAAUUUCGGAGCUUAACUCCGAAACUGCAUUCGAUACUGCGGUGCUUGAGGACUGGAGAGGAGACUGGAAUUCAUGGUGUAGCAGUGAAAUGCGUAGAGAUCAUGAGGAAGACCAGUGGCGAAGGCGGGUCUCUGGACAGUUCCUGACACUGAGGCACGAAGGCCAGGGGAGCAAACGGGAUUAGAAACCCGGGUAGUCC